CUCUGCAAGGAAUUUAGCAAUGUUAUUCGACAAUAUAUAGCUCAAGGACUGUAUUUUUUUUGCACAGGAUACCAGCUUAUAUUGGCAAACCAUGCUCAGUAGCCUGCCAGUUUCUGACAGAAAUACUGACCAAGAAGCCAAAUCACAUCCUUCAUGCAAACAAAGCCAGCAGUUUUCGCAUGAAUUUCUUUCACCUUGCGCUUGUGCUACUGCCGCUGAGCUUCAUCUGUCCUCCCGUCGGUUCAUGCAUUGAGCAGGAGAGGCUAACCCUCCUCCGGUUCCUCGCGGAGCUGUCACCGCCACAUGAUAAUGGCCUCGCUGCGUCAUGGAGGAAUAGGACCGACUGCUGUACCUGGGAAGGGAUCAUCUGUGAUGUGGAUGGUGCAGUAACCAAGAUCUUGCUGGCCUCAAGAGGCCUUGAAGGGCGCAUCUCGUCAUCCCUGAGCGAGCUCACCAGCUUGUCGCGGCUCAACCUGUCAUACAACUCACUCUCCGGUGGGCUUCCGCCAGAGCUGAUAUUCUCUGGCAGCAUCGUUGUCCUCGAUGUCAGCUUCAACCGCCUCGGCGGGGAACUACAAGAGGUAGACUCAUCAUCAUCUGAUUGGCCACUCCAGGUACUGAAUAUCUCAAGUAAUCUGUUUACUGGAGCAUUUCCAUCCACCACAUGGGAGAAAAUGAGCAACCUAGUAGCGAUCAAUGCAAGCAACAACAGCUUCACUGGGCACAUACCUUCCUCUUUCUGCAUCAGCUCACUAUCCUUUGCUGCUCUUGACCUUUGCUACAACCAAUUCAGUGGCGAAAUCCCCGCUGGGAUAGGUAAAUGCUCUGCACUUAGAAUGCUCAAAGCUGGCCACAACAACAUUAGUGGGGCCCUCCCGGAUGAUCUCUUCCAUGCCACAUCAUUGGAGUACCUCUCUUUUCCUAACAAUGGUUUGCAAGGAACAAUUAAGCUUGUGAUAAAGCUCAGUAAUCUAGUUUUUCUUGAUCUUGGGGGGAACAGUUUCAGUGGCAAGGUCCCAGAAUCUAUAGGCGAGCUCAAGAAACUGGAGGAGCUUCGCAUGGACCAUAACUACAUAUCUGGGGAGCUGCCAUCAACCUUGGCCAAUUGCACAAAUCUAGCAGCCAUCGUCCUCGUGAGCAACAAAUUCACAGGAGACCUUGCUAAGGUUAACUUCUCCAACCUACCAAAUCUGAAAACUUUAGAUCUUUGCACGAAUUACUUCACCGGCACAAUUCCAGCAAGUAUCUACUCAUGCAGUAAUUUAACUUGGUUGCGGUUAUCUUUCAAUAAGCUUCACGGUCAGUUGCCAGAGGAGACAGAAAAGUUGAAAUCCCUUACCUUUGUAUCUCUUUCGUACAACUACUUUACCAAUAUCACAGGUGCACUUCAUAUACUCAAGAGCUUAAGGAACCUCACUACCUUGCUAAUUGGGGGCAAUUUCAUGCAUGAAACUAUUCACAGGAUGAAACAAUUCAUGGUCUUGAGAAUCUUCAGGUUCUUGGCAUAAAUGAUUGUGCACUGACUGGAAAAAUACCUAGUUGGCUCUCAAAGCUAAAAAAAUUGGAACUUCUACUUUUAUACAACAAUCAACUUAGUGGACCAAUACCAACCUGGAUCAAGAGCCUAAACUACCUUAAGUAUGUAGACUUAUCCAAUAAUAGCCUUAUAGGGGAAAUACCAACAUCACUAACAGAGAUGCCAAUGCUAAGAUCAGACAAGAUUGCGGAUCACUCAAACCCAAGACUCUUUCGGAUGCCAGUUUUUGUGGCUCCAUCUCUUCAGUACCAUACGGCUAAUGCAUUCCCUAAAAUGUUGAAUCUAGGUAACAACAAAUUCAGUGGUGUGAUCCCCAUGGAGAUUGGUCAGUUGAAAGCGCUCCUCUCACUCAACUUGAGCUUCAACAACUUACAUGGGGAGAUCCCGCAAUCGGCCAGCAACCUCAAGAAUCUGAUGGUGCUAGACCUGUCUUCCAACCAUCUGACAGGUGCAAUCCCUUCGUCACUGGCGAACUUGCACUUUCUUUCUAACUUCAACAUUUCUUACAAUGACCUUGAAGGGCCUGUACCAACUAUAGGCCAGUUCAGCACAUUUCCAACUUCCAGUUUUGCUGGGAACCCGAAGCUAUGCAGCCCUAUGCUUUUGCACCGCUGCAAUUCAGCAGGAGCAGCUCCAGUCUCCACAAUCCCCACAAAGCAGUACAUUGACAAGUUUGUCUUCGCAAUUGCAUUUGGCAUGUUCUUUGGAGUAGGAGUGCUAUAUGAUCAAAUUGUUGUGUCCAGAUUCUUUGGCUAAACCAGACAAUAAUUUGUGCUGGCUUGUACUGUUGUACAUUACGCAAUGGGUCACAGAAUUGAAAUAAGCAACCAACAGCCGACUUUCUAAUUAAUAUAACCAUCUCCAGGAUUCCAA